rnacentral:misc_RNA from 1 species
AGCAUCUCUUCAGAUUAUUCCCUGUUUAUGUGAGGAUAAAUAUGCCUGAAAAUGACUUUGUGGAGGGUGCUUCUGUAGCCAGCCUGCAAAGUUUCUUGAUGGUUUUAGGAAAAAUUGUGUAAAAGGAUUUAUGGUAAAUGGUCAUCAUUGAUAGUUAGUGCCUGGUUGGGCCUAAUAAAACUAAAAUGAGAAAGAAUUAACUGAUAUUGUUUUCACUUU